AGAAUCAACGCUGGCGGCGUGCCUAACACAUGCAAGUCGAGCGAGAAAGGGUAGCAAUACCUGAGUAAAGCGGCGCACGGGUGAGUAACACGUGGAUAACCUGCCUCGAAGUGGGGGAUAACACCGGGAAACCGGUGCUAAUACCGCAUACCCUGACGAGAUCUGCGGAUUUUGUCAGUAAAGGAGCAAUUCGCUUUGAGAGGGGUCCGCGGCUGAUUAGCUAGUUGGUGAGGUAAUGGCUCACCAAGGCAUCGAUCAGUAGCCGGUCUGAGAGGACGGUCGGCCACACUGGAACUGAGACACGGUCCAGACUCCUACGGGAGGCAGCAGUGGGAAUUUUGGCAAUGGGGAAACCUGACCAAGCAACGCCGCGUGGAUGAUGAAAUAUCGUUGGUAACGUAAAAUCCUUUACGAACGGGACGAAACCGCAAGGUUGACGGUACCGUAGAAGAAGCCCGGCUAACUCCGACGCCAGCAGCCGC
rnacentral:rRNA from 1 species